GGCUUGGUGGCGGAUGGUCCGCGUCUGCACUAUAUGCUUCAGUGAGAAGAGCUUUGCAGCAGAAGUCGCUCGUUCGAUUCGGGUCUGAGCCA